AUGGGAGGGACGGAACUGGAAAGUCCUGCCCGUUCGGGGGAUAAAACGUACAAAGCCCCACACGUGAAUCUAAUGCUAUCAUCAUCUAGUGAUAGCGUUAACCAAGGGGGUGGGAGCAAUGAAACUCCUUUAACUAUUGACUUGAACCGACCGGCUCAGGAUCAGGAAGAUAUUCGGCAAUAUGCCGAAUCAAUCAAGGACUUUAGAAUUGAUGAGCAAUUUGAGAGUUUCAAAAACAAUCAAUUCACUAAACCGCUCUAUGAUAAAUUAUGUGCCUACGUGGGAGAUGCGGAGGCUGUCAAAAACACAUGCAUACGAGAAAUCUCGGAGAACUUUCAUUCAACAGACGCUGGGUUAAUUGAUUUCGUCAAGCAGACGGAUGACAGUGAAGGGCAAAGAAGAGUGAUAUUUGAUCUUAUCAACCUUCAUUUUAAGGAUGAGCUAGAGAAACUCCCACCCGAACUCCAACAAAAUGAAAAUCAAGAGGACGACGGGGAGGGAUAA
rnacentral:rRNA from 1 species